rnacentral:rRNA from 1 species
AUUGAACGCUGGCGGCAGGCCUAACACAUGCAAGUCGAACGAGUGGCGGACGGGUGAGUAAUGUCUGGGAAACUGCCUGAUGGAGGGGGAUAACUACUGGAAACGGUAGCUAAUACCGCAUACCAUCAGAUGUGCCCAGAUGGGAUUAGCUUGUUGGUGUGGUAACGUCUCACCAAGGCGACGAUCCCUAGCUGGUCUGAGAGGAGGACCAGCCACACUGGAACUGAGACACGGUCAAGCCUCCGACGGGAGGCAGAAGUGGGGAAUAUUGAACAAUGGGGGCAAGCCGGAGGCAGCCAUGCCGAGUGUAUGAAGAAGGCCUUCAGGUUGUAAAGUACUUUCAGCGGGGAGGCGUUACCCGCAGAAGAAGCACCGGCUAAAUCCGUGCGAGCCGCCGCAGUAAUAC